GUCGAGAGGCUUCGGCAAUGGGGGAAACCCUGACCGAGCGACGUCGCGUGGGUGAUGAAGAUCUUCGGAUCGUAAAACCCUGUCAGGUGGGAUGAAAUGUCACGCGGUUAAUAACCGCGCGGCUUGACAGUACCACCAGAGGAAGCUCCGGCCAACUCCGUGCCAGCAGCCGCGGUAACACGGGGGGAGCGAGCGUUGUUCGGAAUCAUUGGGCGUAAAGAGCUCGUAGGCGGCUCCGUAAGUCAGGGGUGAAAGGCCAUGGCUCAACCAUGGACACGCCUCUGAAACUACGGACCUUGAGGUCGGGAGAGGAAAGUGGAAUUCCUGGAGUAGCGGUGAAAUGCGUAGAUAUCAGGAGGAACACCAGUGGCGAAGGCGGCUUUCUGGCCCGAUUCUGACGCUGAGGAGCGAAAGCCAGGGGAGCGAACGGGAUUAGAAACCCCAGUAGUCC
rnacentral:rRNA from 1 species